ACGGUAACAGGAAGAAGCUUGCUUCUUUGCUGACGAGUGGCGGACGGGUGAGUAAUGUCUGGGAAACUGCCUGAUGGAGGGGGAUAACUACUGGAAACGGUAGCUAAUACCGCAUAACGUCGCAAGACCAAAGAGGGGGACCUUCGGGCCUCUUGCCAUCGGAUGUGCCCAGAUGGGAUUAGCUUGUUGGUGGGGUAACGGCUCACCAAGGCGACGAUCCCUAGCUGGUCUGAGAGGAUGACCAGCCACACUGGAACUGAGACACGGUCCAGACUCCUACGGGAGGCAGCAGUGGGGAAUAUUGCACAAUGGGCGCAAGCCUGAUGCAGCCAUGCCGCGUGUAUGAAGAAGGCCUUCGGGUUGUAAAGUACUUUCAGCGGGGAGGAAGGGAGUAAAGUUAAUACCUUUGCUCAUUGACGUUACCCGCAGAAGAAGCACCGGCUAACUCCGUGCCAGCAGCCGCGGUAAUACGGAGGGUGCAAGCGUUAAUCGGAAUUACUGGGCGUAAAGCGCACGCAGGCGGUUUGUUAAGUCAGAUGUGAAAUCCCCGGGCUCAACCUGGGAACUGCAUCUGAUACUGGCAAGCUUGAGUCUCGUAGAGGGGGGUAGA
rnacentral:rRNA from 1 species